ensembl:ncRNA lncRNA:CR45626 long non-coding RNA:CR45626
UAAAUAGUUUACCGGCUGUUAUUGGGUUAAUUCUGCAAUCCUUUUGCCCCUUCUCAGUGUGCCUGCCUGCGUGACUGCUCGUUCUUAUUUCCAUCCAUUUCGUGAAUAUCCUGCGGCCACACCACCACACACGUAGCCCAGCAGGAUGUGACCCCCCCUUCCCUUCCCCCCCCACCCCUUCGCCGCAUGCACUCAAUUAAGUGACAGUGUGUGGGUGCGGAGAGUCCUGUGUGUUGACUUGAGAACUUGGCACAACUUUUGCGUACGAGUUGCCCGACUACGUGACAGAGGUUGCAAGUGCCACGCCUCCUCCACCACCGCCGCCCCCUGCCCUUUUGAACCUCCUUGUUUACCCUUAAAGGUUCUGUUAUUUACACAGCUAGACACACCCAGAAAAAAAACGUGGUCAUUAAUGCUUAAAAAACAAAACCCACUUAGUUGUAUGGCAAAACCACUGAAAUAUAAGUAGAAAGUUCUGGCAAUGCAUCAUUUUCUUCACCAAAAAUCCCAUUUAGUUUCGCUUUAAGACACUCUGCUUAAAGUCCAACUAUCCAACUAUCCAACUAUCCAUGUAUCCAACUCCCACUUCAGCUCCACCUCCAACCCCCAGCUGUCCAUUUAUCUGUGUCCGAAUCUCCGGGUGAGUGUACGUGUGCAAAGUGCUGACCAUCUGCCGGCCGGCCGGUCUCCGUGCUUUUGGGGCGUGUUCGUUGCCCGGUUUGACAC